rnacentral:rRNA from 1 species
GACAGAGGGUGCGAACGUUGCUCGGAAUCACUGGGCGUAAAGCGCGUGUAGGCGGACCAGCAAGUCAGGUGUGAAAUCCCUGGGCUCAACCUAGGAACUGCAUCUGAAACUGCUGGUCUUGAGUGUCGGAGAGGGAAGCGGAAUUCCUGGUGUAGAGGUGAAAAUUCGUAGAUAUCAAGGAAGGAACCACCGGUGGCG